CCGAAAUAUAGUCAUGUUUACACAAGAUGGCGCUGAGAUAGAACGAUGUGACUGUUCCAACAACGAAUUCUGUUUUGUCAACCAGCGGCAGUCUCACAGGACGUCAUAACACGAGCAUCACUAAGCCUAACCCCAAGAUACACGUGCGUGCGGCUGAUAUGGAUGAAACCACGUGCGAAUCUCCAAGAAAGAAGACGAAACUAUCGAGCGAAUCCGAAAGAAGACAUGACAAUGACUAUGCAACUUCAACUGUGAGUCCUGCAGACCCGGCGAUCCGUGAACUGCCACAGAAAACGAGUGAGUGGAUAGGGGUACAUUUAUCGUAGAUUCAUGUGACUGUUGAUGGCUCUGUGACGUCACCUUUAUGUGUAUUUACUUGUGGAUACACGGAUUUUUUGAGAAAUAAUGACACCCACACUCUACCUGAAGUUAUUGCAGAUAUUUACGGAUCUCGGGACCCUGAACUAGAUGCGAAGUACCACUGCUGUAUGAAAGCAUGUACGGAUGUGUUUACAAUGGAUGCUGAUUCCAUAUUUAAUGUACCUAAACAACAACUUCAGGAAUUGAUUGUUGAACUUAGAAAACCAUUCCGUGAAACAGCUUUCGGAAAGUGGAUGAAAAAAUGGAAAAAGUUGUAUAUAGUUGGAAAGAAUGAAACAAUUAAAGAUUUUAUUGCAGAUGCUUGUGGAAGUAUCCAUGGCCGAUUACAAGAUUUUUGUGAGCAGUUAUUGUACAUGGUUAGAAGUGACAACACAGACGUGACAGAAGGAAUGUAACAAGAACUCUUCAUGUUGUUUAUCAGGAUCUUUGAUUUAAAAAUAAGGUAAGUCAUCAUCUAAAAUUAAACUCAUGUUGCUUCUAGUAUACAUGUAUUGAUUACAUAGAUGUUAUCCAGGGCUCGAAGUUAACAUAUAUGCCCAUCAGUCUGUGUCUGGUUAAAAGAACUAAUUGAUACCCCAGCCAUAUAGCAGGCAUUGUGAUACUUGAGCUAUAACUGAAUUAUUCUACGAAUGAAUUUAGCUUUAGAGAUGCAAAAAAAGUACAAUAUUAACAGUUUUAAAUUAGCCAAAUCCAAUAUAGUUUCCACAAAUCCUGUUGUGAACAAUGCAAAUUUGAUCGUUUUAGCUCACCUGAGCCAAAGACUCAAGUGAGCUUUUCUGAUCAAAAUUUGUCCAUUGUCUGUCGUCGGCGUCGUAAACUUUUCACAUUUUCGACUUCUUCUCAAGAAUUACUGGGCCAAUUUCAACCAAAUUUACCACAAAGCAUCCUUGGGUAAAGGUGAAGGGCUUUCAAGUUUGUUCAAAUGAAGCGGCAUGUCCCUUUGAAAGUUUCAAAGAGGAGAUAAUCACAACAAUGCAAAAAUAGGGUGGGUACGUCAUUUAAAAAUCUUCUCAAGAACCACUGGACCAGAAAAGCUGAAAUUUACAUGAAAGCUUCCUGACAUAGUGCAAAUCCAAGUUUGUUCAAAUCAUGGUCCCCUGGGGUUGGAUGGGGCCACAAUAGGGGAUCAAAGUUUUACAUACUAAUAUAUAGGAUAACUCUUUAAAAAUCUUCUUCUCAAGAACCACUGAACCAGAAAAGCUGAUAUUUACAUGAAAACUUCCUGACAUAAUGCAUAUUCAAGUUUGUUCAAAUCAUGGCCCCCGGGGGUUGGAUGGGGCCACCAUAGGGAAUCAAGGUUUUACAUGUAAAAUAUAGGAAAAAUCUUUAAAAAUCUUCUUCUCAAGAACCACUGAGCCAGAAAAGCUGAUAUUUACAUGACAGCUUCCUGACAUAAUGCAGAUUCAAAUAUGUUCAAAUCAUGACCACUGGGGGUUGGAUGGGGCCACAAUAGGGGAUCAGAUUAUUACAUGUAAAAUAUAGGAAAAAUCUUUAAAAAUCUUUUUCUCAAGAACCACUGAGCCGGAAAAGCUGAGAUUUACAUGAAAGCUUCCUGACAUAAUGCAGAUUCAAAUUUGUUCAAAUCAUGGCCCCGGGGGUAUGAAGGGGCCACAAUAGGGGAUCAAAAUUUUACAUACAAAUAUAUAGGACAAAUCUUUAAAAAUCUUCCUCUCAAGAACCACUGAGGCAGAAAAGCUGAGAUUUACAUGAAAGAUUUGUGACAUAAUGCAGAUUCAAGUUUGUUCAAAUCAUGGCCCCUGGGGGUUGGAUGGAGCCAACAGAGGAGGUCAAAGUUUUACAUACAAAUAUAUAAGGAAAAUCUUUUAAAAUCUUCUUAUGAAGAAGCACUGAGUCAGAAAAGCUGAUAUUUACCUGAAAGCUUUCUGACAUAUUUCAGGUUUGAGUUUGUUAAAAUCAUGGCUCUCAGGGUUUGGAUGGGGUCACAAGUGGGGAUCAAAGUUUUGGAUACAAAUAUAUAGAGAACAUUUUUAAAUAUGAGCCAGGGUGACUCAGGUGAGCGUUAUGGCACUUGGGUCUCUUGUUUAAUGUAAUAUAUUAAUUAAGGAGUGAACCAAACCAAAACUUGCAAAAGAAAUAAAACUAAGCAGUUGUAUUGAAAUGAAUAAUGCCAUGAAUUGUUUCAUCAUCCUGAGAUACACUCUGGUAAUUCAAUUUGCUGAUGUAGAUGGGGUCAUUAGGGGCUCUAAUGAUCCAAUUGGUUAAUUGUAUAUAUUGUUUGAUGGCCGAAUCUUGAGAAUUUUUCACUCAUGGAAACGUCAUCAUUGCCAGUGAAGGGCUGUAAAGUUUAGACCUGAUGCUCGGCACUUACAGCCUUGGAUCAGGGAGGGAUCUUUAUCAUGUCACAUCUGCUGUGACAUGCGGUUUUGGUUUUUUGUAGUCUCAUCUGAAGGACUUCCCCAUUUACUCGCCUCUUACGACAAGCGAGGGGUACUGAGGACCUAUUUCGACCCGGAUCCCCACGGGAUUCCUAAAUAGAGUAAGCUGAGCAGAAAUUCCUCAAUUGAGGGACGUGAACACUUUUGGAGCUCAGAUCCAGUGAUAACUAUUGGGAACCAGAAUAUCAUUUCUGUCCCUGAUGCGCUUAUUUACCAAGCCGCAAAGAAAUUGUCAUCAAAA